UCAAUCCUGUUGAAAGACCAUGUGCUUCGAUGCCCCUCUCUGUGAAAGCUGCUACGCCUAACGUUCGCCAUCGUAAGCCUAAGAAGCAAUUUAUUGAGCCUGUGAAGCCAUACACGACCGGUCUCCCGCCCAAAAGUAGCAGCCCUUCCUUUGUUCCGGUCUCGUCUUACCCGACCACUGUAUCUUAUGAUAGUAACACAGCAGCUGAGCAACUAAAGGCGACGGAAGACUUAGUUACAUUGUAUUUGACGCCUGAGGACGAUUUCACACAGUCACCCCCAUGGAGCAGAUA